UUAGUUUUAUUUCUUUUAGAAUAUUAGUUUUUUACACUAAAGGUUAUAUGACUAAAAA
rnacentral:tRNA from 1 species